CAUCUUCUAAUUGCAUAUUUUCCCCUCUUUGGCUCUCUCUCUCUCCUUUCAACUUUGGGUUUAGUAUUAUUUCACUUUCCUGUCAAUUUAGAUUUAAUUUUAAUCAUCACAACUGCUGCUUUUUUUGUUGGCUUCACAAGCAUUUCUUGCUUCACAUAAAUUCAUACAUUGAAACACAUUGCUUCAGUUACUCAACGAAAAAACGUUUUCAUUCAACUUUUUGUUGACUCUCUUCAUCUGUUUACUGUGUCAGUGUUUACACAUCCUCGUGUUGUUGUCUUUUCCCUUCAACAGCUGAUCAUUUUGUGUAUACUCGUGUUUACUGUGCAAGUUUCUUACCUUUUCUGUGCUUGGUUUAUCAUCUCACUUUAUCCAUCUUCUUCAUCCAUUUGACUCUUCGGCUUUUCCCUUUCAACUCACAACGAGCAAAUCAUUGUAAAUAUGAAUGGAUCAAAAUGAGAGACUCAUUUUCCAUCUCAAACUAUGCUUAAUCAUCAAUAUUCAUGGAAUGCAAUUAACGACCAAUUAAACAUCUUCCAAGACCAAGCAAUCAACAGCAACAGAUAACACCAAUUACGCAGCAAACGAAAAGAGCAACAUUUUGAUAAAUUAUUUUUUUCUCGAGGAAACCUCAACAAUGCAAAUAACAAUUACCAAUUGAAAUUGACCAAUCGAUAUCAUUUUACACUGGACAAUAAUUGGAUAAGCAACUUUGAAAUUAUCGAUAAAAAUAUUUUCUUUCUAUUCAUCAGGUAAGCAAAGCACUUUACAAUCUUUACACAACUUGAAGGUAAUAACAAUAAAUUG